rnacentral:rRNA from 1 species
AAAGCGAGCGGCGGAUGGGUGAGUAACACGUGGGGAACCUGCCCCUAAGUCUGGGAUACCAUUUGGAAACAGGUGCUAAUACCGGAUAAUAAAGCAGAUCGCAUGAUCAGCUUUUGAAAGGCGGCGUAAGCUGUCGCUAAGGGAUGGCCCCGCGGUGCAUUAGCUAGUUGGUAAGGUAACGGCUUACCAAGGCGACGAUGCAUAGCCGAGUUGAGAGACUGAUCGGCCACAUUGGGACUGAGACACGGCCCAAACUCCUACGGGAGGCAGCAGUAGGGAAUCUUCCACAAUGGACGCAAGUCUGAUGGAGCAACGCCGCGUGAGUGAAGGAGGUUUUCGGAUCGUAAAGCUCUGUUGUUGGUGAAGAAGGAUAGAGGUAGUAACUGGCCUUUAUUUGACGGUAAUCAACCAGAAAGUCACGGCUAACUACGUGCCAGCAGCCGCGGUAAUACGUAGGUGGCAAGCGUUGUCCGGAUUUAUUGGGCGUAAAGCGAGCGCAUGCGGAAAAAUAAGUCUAAUGUGGAAAGCCCUCGGCUUAACCGAGGAACUGCAUCGGAAACUGUUUUUCUUGAGUGCAGAAAAGGAGAGUGGAACUCCUUGUGUAGCGGUGGAAUGCGUAGAUAUAUGGAAGAACACCA